GAUGAACGCUGGCGGCGUGCCUAAUACAUGCAAGUCGAGCGAACAGACGAUGAGCUUGCUCCUCUGACGUUAGCGGCGGACGGGUGAGUAACACGUGUAUAACCUACCUAUAAGACUGGGAUAACUUCGGGAAACCGGAUCUAAUACCGGAUAAUAUAUUGAACCGCAUGGUUCAAUAGUGAAAGACGGUUUUGCUGUCACUUAUAGAUGGAUCCGCGCCUCAUUAUCUAGUUGGUAAGUUAACGGCUUACCAAGGCAACGAUGCGUAGCCGACCUGAGAGGGUGAUCGGGCACACUGGAGCUGAGAAACGGCACAGACUCCUAGGGGAGGCAGCAGUAGGGAAUCUUCCGAAAUGGGCGAAAGCCUGACGGAGCAACGCAGCGUGAGUGAUGAAGGUCUUCGGAUCGUAAAACUCUGUUAUUAGGGAAGAACAAAUGUGUAAGUAACUAUGCACGUCUUGACGGUACCUAAUCAGAAAGACACGGCUAACUACGU
rnacentral:rRNA from 1 species